GGAGAAUGACUGAAGUUCCUUGGCAGUUCACAGAGCCACAGACUGGUAAUUCUGGAUGAAACCAGCAACAUACCGCCUGUUACCGAUGGCCUAUGCCACACCCAGCCUUGCCAAGACCAUAUGGGGUCCUCUCUGAUUGGCAGCUCCCACCAGUUCAGAGAACAGGAGUGUUCCUGGCAAAUGCUGCUUUGGGGUGGUGACCUGUGCAAUGGACUCAUCCAAGCUGUCCCUUGUUGAAGGGAAGCUCUGGGCCCAGGCUCCAUUAGGACCUCCCAUUUUUCUACCUGAAAACAUCCCUCCCUAUGGAAUAGUCUGUGCCAGCCUAAGCAGGGCACAGUGCUGGGGCCUAAGGCACACAGAGGAAGCCCCCCCCCCGAAAACCUUGGAAGUAAGAAAUGGAUGGCCCCAGAGGACACAGCGAUGAUGCUGCCAAUGGCUGGAGAACUGCUCAGCUGAAAAAUGAAGCGACAUAUCUACCCAAGGGCGUCACUGGAGUUUCAGAGAUCAUGUGAAGAGCUGUGCUUAAGACCGGAAGUUCUGGAGGCAGGCUGCUUGCAGUCAAACCUGACUUGGUCACUGACCAGCUGUGCAACGGAAGGCAAAGCAAUGUACGCUCUCUGUGCCUCAGCCUCUAUUGUAAAACAGGUACGAGAAUAAAAGGGCUUGACAAGAAAGUUGUCAUGGGUGUGUUAAUCCAUGUAGAGAGAGCCAGCAUUUUCUAAGUGCUAAAUGAUUGCUCACUAUUAAUAUUUCCGGAAGAGGCUUCGAGGGUAUCUGGUAUCAAAGAGCUCAGUAAUUUGGUUCCCUUCCUAUUUACCCAGAGACCUUAGGUGGGUUGAGAAAUGCUACCAUUCCAGCUUCGGUGACAGAAGGAGGGGGUCCUUAGCUCCCGAGGAGAGUCUCUGAAGCCGAACACUCAUUGUUAUGGGAAAAGCUUCGGCAUCAGCCACACACAAUACAUGAGUCUGGCACUUGCGUGCACCUGAGAGCAUCUUCCCACAGCAUGUCGGAAGGGCCAGGCACCCCGCUUGGUAUUAAUCAUGCUUCAUUCCACCCUGUGGAGUAGGCAGCUAGGAGCUAUUCUCAUUUACACAGUGGUGCCAUAUAGUAAGCCUUCCACAAACGCCUGGAGGAUAAGUGCAUGAAAAACUCAAUGAACACUGCUCCGCUUUCAAGUAACAACAUGAGCAGAUCCACAAUUCCUGGACUAUAUUCUCCAUUGAAGGCUUAACCAUCAACUGCAUUAAAAGAAUCUGCAAAUUCAUAGAAAUUCAAAGGCUUCCUUAGUGACUGAUGGGCACCAUCACCUGUGCUGGCGAUAAGCACCCUUAAGGGUAAG